rnacentral:rRNA from 1 species
AUUCCAGCUCCAAUAGCGAAUACUAAUUCUGCUGCAGUUAAAAAGCUCGUAGUUGAACUUCUGGUAGGACAGAUCCGGCCUUUGGAUGAAUGUCCAUUGUAUGCUGUGUGUCUUGUCUGGCCAUCCUUUAUGUCUUUUAGGCGUAAUCUUUCACUGUAAAAAAAUUAGGGUGUUUCAAGCAAAAGUUAUUUGGAAUAUAUUAGUAUGGGAUGAUAAGAUAGGCUCUUGAGUGCUACUUUGUUGGUUUAUACACUUAGAGAAUGAUUAACAGGGACAGUUGGGGGUAUUCAUAUUUGAUUGUCAGAGGUGAAAUUCUUGGAUUUUUCAAAGAUGAACAAGUGCGAAAGCAUUUACCAAGGAUGUUUUCAUCA